AGUGCCACAUAAAGAUAAUAAAAUAAAGGUACUGUGUCCAUCUACAACUAAAAAUUAAAAAAAAAAAUGAGCAGCGGGGCCUCCCCUGACCCCCGCGGUCAGCCUGGGCAGCUCUGCCUGGUUCUUCAGCCCGCGUCCCCCUCCGUCUGCACCAGCCUCUGACCCACCUGCCACCGUGGCUCUUGUGAUUACUUUGAGUAUCUGAGUGGCCCGGGAUCCUCCCCCCAUUUCCACAUCCAUGACUUCACCCUGCCCCGUCAGCGCCAUGCUCACAGGUCCUGGGGACUGGAGCCUGGGCAUCGCUGGGGGCCACCAGGCCUCCAACUCUGCCCCUCCCCCCCAGUGCCCAGCCUGUCCCUGACCUCACCUGCUGCCACACAGGCCUUCCACUCCUUGGGCUCACUCGCUUCCCCCUUGGCAGCAGGGACCCUGGACCUGUCCUCAUGGUGGCCUUCCCACCUCUCCUGUCCCCACCACCACCCUGUUCCCAGCAGGGCCUCACCCCUACUCCACCGUCUUGGGGAGGGGCCUCCUAACCCUUCUCCAGUCUCUGCUGCCCUCCUCGAUUCCCGCUCGUCCCCUCUGGUGGCCAGGCCGCAGACCCCUGCCUCGUUCCUGGAAGCUUCCAGAAGCCCCCGGCUUCCCGUGCACAUUCUAGCUUCAUGUUCCUCUUUCUAUGGUCACUGCCGAGCCAUCCGGCUGGCCACUUUCUGACCACAUAGUCCCUCUGUGGACCGAGUUUGGAACCAGAUGGUAACCGUGACUAGGGUGGCAUGUGCAUGUGCCACAUGGCCAGCCACCCUGCAGCUGCUGACGCGGAGCAGGGCCCGUCCACCGGAGCCUGCGGUGAAGAGCCAUUUCACCUGGGAAGCCUUCCUUCUGGAGUCGCGCACUCCGUGGAGACCCUGUGAGGGGUCGCAGGUGCCCACCAGAGGAAUCACCACCAGCAACAAGGCCAGGCCAGGGAGGAGUGGAGCCCUCACCAAGCAGAAAGCCAAGUGACAGGGUAGCAGUGUGUGUGUGUGGCCGCGUGAGUCCCCUGGACUCCAGGCCUGCCGGUGGCACACAGUGGGUACGAGGCUUCGAUUCUGUCUCACCAAAAUCAGGUCGUGAGCUGGCACAGGGGCACGCUCCCGUGACCCCAGCACCUCAGGAGGCUGAGCAGCAGGUGGAGCGCUUGAGGCCAGCCGGGCAGCUGAGGGAGACCCCAGUCAGUUAAAAUAAAAAGGCACACGGUUAGCAGGCCCGAGGCCCUGGUGCCACCCUCUGCACCACAGAGAAGAAGUGCAGCACUAGUGGGGAUAGCCGCGUGGUGACUCGAGUGUGCAGAGCUGGGGGCCCAUGCGGAGAGCAGGAGGGUGCAGCACCCUGUGCUCAGUCGUGUCAGCUGACACCUUCCACAGGCUCCCUCUGCUGCUGGGUGGCCUUGUUGGUGACCGAUGGUUGGCGAGGGCUGGAAGCCUACACCUCCUGGUCUGUCUGCGGUAGUGAGGUGUCAUCAUUAACAAGCACCUGGUCGUCACCGGAAGCUGGGACCCUGCUGCUCCUUCCAAAGGGCUUCCGGCUGGAGGAGCCGGGCCACCCGGCCCCCUGUGCUCAUCCCUGCAGCAGGCUCCUUGCCCCUGCUGCUCCCUGUCCCAAGAUGCCGCUGUGGCGCCAGCCUUGCCUGCCCUGCCCAGCUUGAGG
rnacentral:lncRNA from 1 species